UACGUAGGGUGCAAGCGUUAUCCGGAAUUAUUGGGCGUAAAGGGCUCGUAGGCGGUUCGUCACGUCGGGAGUGAAAACUCGGGGCUUAACCCCGAGCCUGCUUCCGAUACGGGCAGACUAGAGGUAGGCAGGGGAGAGCGGAACUCCUGGUGUAGCGGUGGAAUGCGCAGAUAUCAGGAAGAACACCGAUGGCGAAGGCAGCUCUCUGGGACGGUACUGACGCUGAGACGCGAAAGCGUGGGGAGCGAACAGG
rnacentral:rRNA from 1 species